rnacentral:rRNA from 1 species
UUGCUUCUCGCUGACGAGCGGCGGACGGGUGAGUAAUACUUAGGAAUCUACCUAGUAGUGGGGGAUAGCUCGGGGAAACUCGAAUUAAUACCGCAUACGACCUACGGGAGAAAGGGGGCAACUUGUUGCUCUCGCUAUUAGAUGAGCCUAAGUCGGAUUAGCUAGAUGGUGGGGUAAAGGCCUACCAUGGCGACGAUCUGUAGCUGGUCUGAGAGGAUGAUCAGCCACACCGGGACUGAGACACGGCCCGGACUCCUACGGGAGGCAGCAGUGGGGAAUAUUGGACAAUGGGGGAAACCCUGAUCCAGCCAUGCCGCGUGUGUGAAGAAGGCCUUUUGGUUGUAAAGCACUUUAAGCAGUGAAGAAGACUCUAUGGUUAAUACCCAUAGACGAUGACAUUAGCUGCAGAAUAAGCACCGGCUAACUCUGUGCCAGCAGCCGCGGUAAUACAGAGGGUGCAAGCGUUAAUCGGAAUUACUGGGCGUAAAGCGAGCGUAGGUGGCUUGAUAAGUCAGAUGUGAAAUCCCCGGGCUUAACCUGGGAACUGCAUCUGAUACUGUUAGGCUAGAGUAGGUGAGAGGGAGGUAGAAUUUCAGGUG